GAUGAACGCUGGCGGCGUGCCUAAUACAUGCAAGUCGAGCGAAUGGAUUGAGAGCUUGCUCUUAUGAAGUUAGCGGCGGACGGGUGAGUAACACGUGGGUAACCUGCCCAUAAGACUGGGAUAACUCCGGGAAACCGGGGCUAAUACCGGAAAACAUUUUGAACCGCAUGGUUCGAAAUUGAAAGGCGGCUUCGGCUGUCACUUAUGGAUGGACCCGCGUCGCAUUAGCUAGUUGGUGAGGUAACGGCUCACCAAGGCAACGAUGCGUAGCCGACCGGAGAGGGUGAUCGGCCACACUGGGACUGAGAAACGGCCCAGACUCCUACGGGAGGCAGCAGUAGGGAAUCUUCCGCAAUGGACGAAAGUCUGACGGAGCAACGCCGCGUGAGUGAUGAAGGCUUUCGGGUCGUAAAACUCUGUUGUUAGGGAAGAACAAGUGCUAGUUGAGUAAGCUGGCACCUUGACGGUACCUAACCAGAAAGCCACGGCUAACUACGUGCCAGCCGCCGCAGUAA
rnacentral:rRNA from 1 species